rnacentral:tRNA from 3 species
GCCUCUGUAGCAGAAUUGGCAUAUGCGGGAUGUUCAAAACAUCCGUCAUUUGUGGGUUCGAAUCCCACUCCGGGCA